rnacentral:rRNA from 1 species
UACAGAGGGGGCAAGCGUUGUUCGGAAUUACUGGGCGUAAAGGGCGCGUAGGCGGCCUGCUAAGUCGAACGUGAAAUCCCUGGGCUCAACCCAGGAACUGCGUCCGAGACUGGUUGGCUUGAAUCCGGGAGAGGGAUGUGGAAUUCCAGGUGUAGCGGUGAAACGCGUAGAUAUCUGGAGGAACACCGGUGGCGAAGGCGGCAUCCUGGACCGGCAUUGACGCUGAGGCGCGAAAGCCAGGGGAGCAAACGGG